ensembl:lincRNA
GGUGGUGAUGAGGCAGGGAGCGGGGCAGGGAGAGGGGGGAGAAUCAGGGAGGGAGGGAGAGGGCCCCAGUUUUCUGGGUCCAAGGGAGGAGGGUGCUGGGAGUGGGUAAAUCUGAGAGAGACCCCUGAAUCCCCAAAGAUCUGGAAGAAGGCUGAGCGGUGGAGGCGGGACUGUCAGCGCCCCGGCAGAGCCAAAGUCCACGAUCGAACGCCAGCAGGACACUGGCAGGUCAAGAGGGUGACCUCUGCCGUCCAGGGACUUCACCCGCAAACUAACUGCAGUUUCGGUCUCGGGACGGAGCGGGCCCUCCAGCUCCCCUCCUUCAGCUUUCUAGCUUCAGCGUUCAAACUCCCAGAUGGGGAGUCCUCCCCAAGACCCAGAAAUCCAAGCCUCCAGCUCUGUGCACCCUUCCUCCCUAGGGGACCCAGAAGCCCGGGCCUCCGGCCUCUUCAAGAGCACGUGCCAUUGUUUCUAGCCCCCUGCGGUCUAGCCUCCCUGUUGGUACCUCCUUGGGGAGUGAGAACCCAGACCUACGGGUGCCCACUCUGCCGGGUGCUGUUUCUGUCUGGACGCGGCGAGAGCGGGCCGGGACCCUGGUGCCCGGAUCCUGCCCGCACUGGCCUCCCAGUUCCCCACAGCCAGGGCGUGGGUGGGGAGGGUGAUCCUGCUGAGAACAUCCCUGUCAGGAGAACCUCCCUCCCAGAAACCCACUGCUUCCUCUGGCCGUUUUUUUUUUCUCUCCCACAAAACAGCUCUCAGCUUCCUGGCUUCCUCCCUUCUCACUACUCAGGUGCCUGGGCCCUGGCCCCCUCCUGCGUCCCCAGAACCCGGGAGUCCAGGCCCCCGGCCCAUCUGCCCUCAGACCCAGGGAGAGUCUCCUCCGUGAGACCCAGAAGUGCCAGCCACCCGCUCCCUCAGCUCCCCACCUCUUUUGAUUGUUUAAUAAAUGAAAUAAACUUCACAUGAGAUUAACCAUUUCAUUUUAUUUUAUUGUGCUUUAUUUAACUUGCAUUUUAUUUGACUUUUAUUGUUGUGGCUUGUGGGAUCUUGGUUCCCCAAUCAGGGUUGGAACCUGGGGCCCCCGGCAGUGAGAGCACCCAGUCCUAACCACUGGAGGGCCAGAGAAUUCCCUAACCGUUUUAAAUUUUACAGUUCAGGGACAUUAGCUCAUUCACAGUGUUUCGAAACCAGCACCGCUACCUCAUUCCGGAACUUUUUCACUACCCCAGGAGGAAGUCCCUUACCAGUUAAGCUGACUCUCCCAAUUCCCGCCUCCACACCCCUCAACCCUCUGGCCACAUCCAAACUGCUUCCGGUCUCUAUAGAUUUGGCACUUCUGGACAUUUCAUAUAAAUAGUAUGUGCCUUCUCGUGUCUGGCUUCUGUCACUACGCGUGAUGUUUUUGAGGCUCACCCAUGUUCCCAGGUGGGUAAAGAACCCUGCCUGCCAGUGCAGGAGGCGUCAGGAACUUGGGUUCGGUCCCUGCAUGGGGAAGACCCCCUGGAGGAGGGCAUGGCUACCCACUCCAGUGUUCUUGCCUGGAGAAUCCCGUAGGCAGAGGAGCCUGGCAGGCUACAGUCCUUGGGGUCACACAGAGUCAGACGCGACCGAAGUGAUUUAGCAUGAUAGCAUGUUGUAGCACAGGUCAGUGCCUCAUGCCUUUUCGUGGCUAAAUAAUAUUUCAUCAACGCCCCCCCUCACGGGGACUUCUGAAGCCCGCUUCUCUCGUCCUUUGCACUUCAGGAUUUCCAAGUGCCCCAACAGCUAGGGUUCUCAGCUCUCGGAUUCCUUGAGAGCAAAGACGAGAGAGCAGAGAGACAGACAGGGAUCACAAGUAUUUCUUGAAGGCAGAGGCCCAGUGACCAAUGGAGAAUGAGAUCUCUCGGGACUUUCCUGGUGGUCCAGUGGUUAGGACUCUGCACGUCCACUGCUGGGGGCACGGGUCGGAUCCCUGGUCAGGGAACUAAGAUCCCAUAGGCUGCAGUGUGCAAUCAAAAAAAAAAAAAAAAAAGCCAAACAUGAGAUGUUAUAGUAGUGCAGAGCAGGGCAGGGUGGGCGCAGAAGGGGAAGUGGCUAACCAGCAAUGGUAGCCAGUGCCUGUCUGGCUGUGGGGGAAGUUUAGGACAAUCUCACAAGCCAUGCUUACAGGAGGCAGGCGAGCUACAGGAAGGCUUUCUCAGCAGGGCCCAGGUGGUUCCUGAAACCUGGCCCCUGAGGGUUGAGUGCUUUUGUCUUUCGACCAAAAUAGAAAUGGCCAACCUGCGAGUUUCCGUUUUAUCUGGAG